UAGGGAAUCUUCCACAAUGGGCGCAAGCCUGAUGGAGCAACACCGCGUGAGUGAAGAAGGGUUUCGGCUCGUAAAGCUCUGUUGUUGGAGAAGAACGUGCGUGAGAGUAACUGUUCACGCAGUGACGGUAUCCAACCAGAGAGUCACGGCUAAAUACGUGCC
rnacentral:rRNA from 1 species